GACGAACGCUGGCGGCGUGCUUAACACAUGCAAGUCGAACGGUAAGGCCCUUCGGGGUACACGAGUGGCGAACGGGUGAGUAACACGUGGGUGAUCUGCCCUGCACUUCGGGAUAAGCCUGGGAAACUGGGUCUAAUACCGGAUAGGACUCCGGACUGCAUGGUCUGGGGUGGAAAGCGUUUGCGGUGUGGGAUGGGCCCGCGGCCUAUCAGCUUGUUUGUGGGGUGAUGGCCUACCAAGGCGACGAAGGGUAGCCGGCCUGAGAGGGUGACCGGCCACACUGGGACUGAGAUACGGCCCAGACUCCUACGGGAGGCAGCAGUGGGGAAUAUUGCACAAUGGGCGCAAGCCUGAUGCAGCGACGCCGCGUGAGGGAUGACGGCCUUCGGGUUGUAAACCUCUUUCAGCAUCGACGAAGCGAAAGUGACGGUAGGUGCAGAAGAAGGACCGGCCAACUACGUGCCAGCCGCCGCAGUAA
rnacentral:rRNA from 1 species